rnacentral:rRNA from 1 species
CGGCGUGCCUAAUACAUGCAAGUAGAACGCUGAAGAGAGGAGCUUGCUCUUCUUGGAUGAGUUGCGAACGGGUGAGUAACGCGUAGGUAACCUGCCUUGUAGCGGGGGAUAACUAUUGGAAACGAUAGCUAAUACCGCAUAACAAUGGAUGACACAUGUCAUUUAUUUGAAAGGGGCAAUUGUUCCACUACAAGAUGGACCUGCGUUGUAUUAGCUAGUAGGUGAGGUAAUGGCUCACCUAGGCGACGAUACAUAGCCGACCUGAGAGGGUGAUCGGCCACACUGGGACUGAGACACGGCCCAGACUCCUACGGGAGGCAGCAGUAGGGAAUCUUCGGCAAUGGGGGCAACCCUGACCGAGCAACGCCGCGUGAGUGAAGAAGGUUUUCGGAUCGUAAAGCUCUGUUGUAAGUCAAGAACGGGUGUGAGAGUGGAAAGUUCACACUGUGACGGUAGCUUACCAGAAAGGGACGGCUAACUACGUGCCAGCAGCCGCGGUAAUACGUAGGUCCCGAGCGUUGUCCGGAUUUAUUGGGCGUAAAGCGAGCGCAGGCGGUUUGAUAAGUCUGAAGUUAAAGGCUGUGGCUCAACCAUAGUUCGCUUUGGAAACUGUCAAACUUGAGUGCAGAAGGGGAGAGUGGAAUUCCAUGUGUAGCGGUGAAAUGCAUAGAUAUAUGGAGGAACACCGGUGGCGAAAGCGGCUCUCUGGUCUGUAACUGACGCUGAGGCUCGAAAGCGUGGGGAGCGAACAGGAUUAGACACCCUGGUAGUCCACGCCGUAAACGAUGAGUGCUAGGUGUUGGAUCCUUUCCGGGAUUCAGUGCCGCAGCUAACGCAUUAAGCACUCCGCCUGGGGAGUACGACCGCAAGGUUGAAACUCAAAGGAAUUGACGGGGGCCCGCACAAGCGGUGGAGCAUGUGGUUUAAUUCGAAGCAACGCGAAGAACCUUACCAGGUCUUGACAUCCCGAUGCUAUUUCUAGAGAUAGAAAGUUACUUCGGUACAUCGGUGACAGGUGGUGCAUGGUUGUCGUCAGCUCGUGUCGUGAGAUGUUGGGUUAAGUCCCGCAACGAGCGCAACCCCUAUUGUUAGUUGCCAUCAUUCAGUUGGGCACUCUAGCGAGACUGCCGGUAAUAAACCGGAGGAAGGUGGGGAUGACGUCAAAUCAUCAUGCCCCUUAUGACCUGGGCUACACACGUGCUACAAUGGUUGGUACAACGAGUUGCGAGUCGGUGACGGCGAGCUAAUCUCUUAAAGCCAAUCUCAGUUCGGAUUGUAGGCUGCAACUCGCCUACAUGAAGUCGGAAUCGCUAGUAAUCGCGGAUCAGCACGCCGCGGUGAAUACGUUCCCGGGCCUUGUACACACCGCCCGUCACACCACGAGAGUUUGUAACACCCGAAGUCGGUGAGGUAACCUUUUGGAGCCAGCCGCCUAAGGUGGGACAGAUGAUUGGGGUGAAGUA